rnacentral:rRNA from 1 species
UACAGAGGGUGCAAGCGUUAAUCGGAAUUACUGGGCGUAAAGCGUGCGUAGACGGUUACAUAAGUCGGGUGUGAAAGCCCCGGGCUCAACCUGGGAAUUGCAUUCGAGACUGCGUAGCUAGGGUGCGGAAGAGGGAAGCGGAAUUUCCGGUGUAGCGGUGAAAUGCGUAGAUAUCUGGAGGAACACCGGUGGCGAAGGCGGCAUCCUGGACCAAUUCUGACGCUGAGGAGCGAAAGCCAGGGGAGCAAACGGG